rnacentral:rRNA from 1 species
GACGAACGCUGGCGGCGUGCUUAACACAUGCAAGUCGAACGGAAAGACCCUGCUUUUGUGGGGUGCUCGAGUGGCGAACGGGUGAGUAACACGUGAGUAACCUGCCCUUGACUUUGGGAUAACUUCAGGAAACUGGGGCUAAUACCGGAUAGGAGCUCCUGCUGCAUGGUGGGGGUUGGAAAGUUUCGGCGGUUGGGGAUGGACUCGCGGCUUAUCAGCUUGUUGGUGGGGUAGUGGCUUACCAAGGCUUUGACGGGUAGCCGGCCUGAGAGGGUGACCGGCCACAUUGGGACUGAGAUACGGCCCAGACUCCUACGGGAGGCAGCAGUGGGGAAUAUUGCACAAUGGGCGGAAGCCUGAUGCAGCAACGCCGCGUGCGGGAUGACGGCCUUCGGGUUGUAAACCGCGUUCGCCUGUGACGAAGCGUGAGUGACGGUAAUGGGUAAAGAAGCACCGGCUAACUACGUG